rnacentral:rRNA from 1 species
GCCUGGCCCUAAAUCUUGAUGCUUCAUUACCUAAGCAUCCGCCCGGGAACUACGAGCACAAACGCUUAAAACCCUAAGGACUUGGCGGUGUCCCAAACCCACCUAGAGGAGCCUGUGUAAUCGAUGAUCCACGAUAUUACCUGACCACUUCUUGCUAAAACAGCCUACAUACCGCCGUCGCCAGCUCACCUUCACUGAGAGACCAACAGUGGACGCAAUAGCCCAACCACGCUAACAAGACAGGUCAAGGUAUAGCCUAUGGAGUGA